GCGCGAGUGGCGGAACUGGCAGACGCGCAGGAUUUAGGUUCCUGUACCGAAAGGUGUGGGAGUUCGACUCUCCCCUCGCGCA
rnacentral:tRNA from 1 species